rnacentral:siRNA from 1 species
AAAGUGGAAAUGGUGCGUCGUGGA